UUCUUUAAGCAUGUCAUAAAUAUUUUCAUAUUUGCAUAAAAUUUUUGAAUAAAACGAAUGGUUAAACGUUGGUAAAAAACAAUGGCGUCAUACAUUAAAAUACGGAGGGAGUAGAAAAUAAAGUUCUUGAGAUACAAACAUUGGAUGAUUGGUGUAGUCAUUCUUCCCCCUUUUUUGGUUGUAAUGCAGCUAAUAUUGGCAAAGCUUCUGGAUUGGAAUGGAAGUACAUCUUGCUGCCAUCGAGAAAUGGAAUGGUUAGGGGCAAAUUGAAGAUGUUGAAUGCCUCUGCUAUCACUACGCCACGCUAUCCAAAUAGCAUUCCACCAUGAAGAAGAAUGGAACUCCUUGCAUGCGACCAAGAUAUGCUGCAAAUUCGAAAGGAAUGGCUGUAAAGCUUGUGGUGCAAAUGAAUUUUGGCACGCAACUGUUGAUGCUGUUCCUUCUGGGUCUCUCUCUGUUCUUUGUUUGGCUUGUGACUGAAAGCAACCAUUAUCAUCAUGUGAAGCCAUGCAUAACAGCGGGAAUCAGGAAAGAGAAUCCUCCAUGAAAGGUACUAGUACAACUACUACGCAAUGUCCCUACAAGGAAAGGAAAGUCCUCAAAGAUUGGAUCUACAUCUAAUUGUCAAGUUGUCAUACUCCUUGCUGGAGAGGGUCCUACGACUUCUCAAGUGAUGUCUAGCAGAGCAGUACCUUGCCAGCAUGGUACUGAGUCGUUGUUUUGUCCUUCUCCAGCAGGGCGCGAUCUUCUCUGGAAUAGUACUUCUAUGUGGUCUGAUCCGAUGCAAGGUCAUGAAAAUCCCUUAACUUUAGGUCCUGUUCUUUUCCACUUACCGAAUAUGGAUUAUGGCAGGCACGCUUUUCACGCUUCUAUACAAUAUGAUUUUCCUGAAAACUUUCUUCAUCAGAUGAUGGAUAUAAGCCUUGUUCGGUUAAUCUCAAGGCCAAGGGAAUUCGGUGAGGAAUUAUCCCCCUUAACUUCCUCUAAUCACUUCCUUGGAAUUUGGUGAGGAAUUAUCCCCCUUAACUUCCUCUAAUCACUUCCUUUUGGGGAUUAACCGAAUAAGCCCUUAUACGGUUAUAUGCUACUACUUUUAUCCUAAAAUAUAAGUAUUUUUAGUUAUGAAUAUGAAUAAUUGUGUAUUCAAAUUUAUAGCCAAAAGGUGCUAUAUUAUGGGAGGAGUACUAACAGCCUUAUCUUUUCGCUUAUGUUUAUACUUAUCAGCUAAAAUUUAAAUUUUCAACCUUAAAUAUAAAGUUGAUUUUGGGGUUUUUUAUCGUAAUUUAUUUUCAGCCUUUGCUUUUAUAUCGUUAAGAACACGUGUAUAAAAGUUUUAUUCACAAAUUAUUUUUUAAUUGCAAAUAUGCCGUUUCGCUUUUUUUCUCCAAUAUGCCAAAGGACGAGGCUAAGUUGCUAGCCCACCCCUCAGCAUUCAAUGGUUCCAGUUGCAUAUUUUGUCCGUACAGUUGGAAGGAGUAGGUGGAACGGUGGAAAGGGUAUCUUCUUUCUCAGAUUUGUCCGAGUUAUUCCUAUCUGCUAUACUAGUACCUGCACCAUGUGUACCAUGUGCUGUUUUUUUAAAAAACUCCUCGCAGAUCAGAGCAUGACUUCUCGGGAUUGAGACUUGCAUGUGGCCGCUGAGAGGAUGUACAAGAGAAUUCGAUCUGGAUCCUGGCCAGACUGAACUCCAUUGCCAAACUUCUCUGAGGGUGUGUUUUCCUGAAAAAAGCUGAAAAAAGUUGAAAGUAUGCGGAAAGUUGGAAGUUUGAAAAAAAAGUUUAAAGUUUAGGUGUGUAGAAAAGUUUUGAAUGUGAUAUGAUGGAAAGUUGGUAGUUUAGUGUAGUUGAGAGUGAACUAAACACAGCCUGAGUUUUGAUCUGAAUAGCAUCAACGUAUAAAACUCUGCAUCUGGAUUCUGGCAUUCUUAAGGCAAGUCCAAGAAACUUUGUGCGAGCCUGAUGGACGGCUCCCAUGACUGGAGCCUUAUUCCCUUGUUACUUCCUUCAACUCAAAAUAACUUCAUUUUUUUAUCUUAGAUGCUAAAAACAAGAUAGAGGAACCAAAGUACCCUACAUUAAUAAAAAGUAGUAUUCUUAAGUGGGUAGGUGAGAGUAAGCCAGAGGUAUUAAAGGAAUAGGUUUUUGCGGACCGAGAGUGUAUACGAGAGGAUAGAAAUGAACUUAUUUUGGGACAAAUGAUUGAGGCUAAAAGUAAACUUAUUUUGGAUAGUACUCCCUCUAUCCCAUUUGAAGUACAGUUGUGGGUUUCAGUGCUUGACAUUUGACCGUUCAUUUUAUUUGAAAAAUUUUAUGAAAAAAAUUAAAAAUAAGUUACGUAUAAGGUACUAUUCAUGUUUUAUCAUUUAAUAACAAUGAAAAUACUAAUUACAAGAAAUUUUUAAAUGAGAUGGAUGGUCAAACGUUAGACACUGGAACCCACAAAUGGGAUAGAGGAGUAGUAGAUCAGAUAGGGAGCAGAAGUGAACUGACAGUUUUGUCCCUGUUUAGUUUCUCUUUUACGUGUAACCUAAUCUGAUUAUCAGAAAGAUCACAUGGACCAGUGAGGUGAUGUGAUGCAUUGUGCCUGCUGGCUUUCAUUGUCGAUUGGAGAGGGAUCUUGGCAGCAUUCUGGUUGCACUGUGCGCCCCAUAGGCUCUCCGGCCUGUGCUAUCCUGUUGCUGACGCUGAUGUGAGCUUCAAGCAGAUGCAAUGCUAAAAUGCUUGGCUGUGAGAUCUCCAACAAAUUUGUUUUUCGAGAACAUGUAGGAGAUCCACGUACUUUGAUAUCAAAUGAGAUCAAGUUUAGUGGCAACUUGGCAAGAUGUAAAUUUGAUGCUGUGCAAGGGCCUGUAGUCCGUACGUACUAAGAUCACCCAACAUUUUUUAUUAGAGAGAUCCUGCAGAAAUAAAUAGAAAAUUUUACAAUAGCUCCAUAUAUUUUGGUACAAGUUACUUACGAUUAUAAGGGUUUUGACAUGCUACAUAUAACUAUAUGUACUAUAGUUCUAUAAAACCAUACUACUCUAGUAACUAUUUUUUCUUUCAGCUACUGAACUAUGAAAUUCUAAAUAUGAAAUUCUAAACUUGUAUCCGAAAUUUAUGAGGUUAUUAAAUCCAUCAACUAAAUGCCAUACCUACCUAAGUUACUUCCUCCGUUCUCACAUAUGUAAUUUUUAGCUUCAAACUGAACAUAUGAAUUUGGAUAAGGUUUGUCUAGAUUCAUAACCAAAAUUGCUAUAGUUUGGGAUAGAGGGAGUAGAUAUUUUCUAUUGUGCUACAAUAUUAAAUUAAGAGUAAAUUUUACUUUUGGCCAGUUAUUAUUGCCUGAGUUUCAUUUUGGACUAGGUUAUUUCUAAUGUUUUCACUUUGGUCCAGGAUUUCUUACCCUCUAUUGUACAUUGGACCACUUUUUUGUUUGCCACUCCUUGAUUUCAUUAGCAAGCUUAUCAGCAGCACAAUAAACCAAUCAAUAUUCCAUCUAACCAUGAUUUCUUAACUCCUUGAUUUAGCUGGUUGACUUCUACUUUUUUUCCUUUAUUAAAAAAUCAUGUGAGCUUAGAACAAGUCACUCUAUUGAGCUUGCAUGCAGCAGCUACAGCAGCCAGCGAUCAUGAGGCUUGAUUUUGUUAGCUCCUCAAGCUCGGGAACAGAGCAGAGAGAGAAGGGAUCCCAGUGUUAUGCUUGAUCAUCUAUUCAUCCUUAAGAUCCAUGGCGCAGGUGCUUAAUAGAAAAAAUGAGGAAAGAGAAGAGAUGGAGAAGAAGGGUGGUCCAAUUUGAAACUAUUGUAAAUUUAUAUAAUCCAAAGUGAUAAGAUAACUUUACCCCUUGUCCAAAUUGAAAUUUUGGUAAAAAUACCUAGCCCAAAGUGCAAUUAACUCUUAAAUUUAAAUUAGUUAACAGUGUGGGUUUAUAAAACCUUAAGAUCAUAAAAAUCCAAGGAUAUGUUAAUGUGUCAAACUAUUGUGUUUUCUAUAGGAAAAGGAUAAUAUUGUGUACAGUUUUUUUUCCUUAUAGAACUCUUGAAAAGGCUAACGUGACAUGUUGUGGACUUGUGGGUAAAUCUAGAUUUUCUAUGAUUUUUUCUACAGUAAAAUCAAACGGUUGAUAGCUUUGUUUGUAAGAGUUGCGAUAGCCAUCUUUUCUACAACACGAACUCAGGUUCAUUGAAAUUUACUAUGUACUCAUAAAUAAAUUACGAGUUUUUCAGUGAAUGUGACAUCACAUUUUGGUAUUCGUCAACAGUUGUCUGGAUGCACCUAAAUGAAUGGAUGACACAACCCGUCUGUUGCCAAGUUUUUAGGACUAUAGCCAAGUAGAUGGUUGAGGUCCAGUACUCU